GCCGAGGUGGUGAAACUGGCAAACACGAUAGAUUCAAAAUCUAUUGUCCGCAAGGACUUGAGGGUUCAACUCCCUCUCUCGGCA
rfam:Parcubacteria bacterium GW2011_GWF2_43_11 TV65_C0028, whole genome shotgun sequence.